rnacentral:rRNA from 1 species
CCUGACUGUGCAAAGGUAGCAUAAUAAUUUGCCUUUUAAUUGGAGGAUGGAAUGAAUGAUUUGACGAGGGUAUAGCUGUCUUAUAUAUAUUUAUUAGAAAUUAAUUUUUAGGUCAAAAAGCCUAAAUAAAAUUAAAAGACGAGAAGACCCUGUUAAGCUUAAAGGAAUAUUGUUUAUUAAUUACUAUAAUUGAGAUGUAAUAAUUGACAGUGAAAUUUUAGUUGGGGCGACUUGGGAGCAAAACAAACCUCCUUAAAAUCAGUAAAAUUUAAUAUAAGAUCCAAUGAAUUUUGAAUUAAGAACAAGUUACUACAGGGAUAACAGCGUAAUUUCAAUUGAGAGUUCUAAUCGAAAAUGAAGUUUGCGACCUCGAUGUUGGAUUAGGAGGUAGUGAAGGUUGCAGAAGCUUUCAUAACUAGUCUGUUCGACUAAUAAUAUCCUACAUGAUCUGAUUCAAACCGGA